rnacentral:rRNA from 1 species
GACGAACGCUGGCGGCGUGCCUAAUACAUGCAAGUCGAGCGAGACUCUUCGGAGUCUAGCGGCGGACGGGUGAGUAACACGUGGGCAACCUGCCUGUAAGACUGGGAUAACACCGGGAAACCGGUGCUAAUACCGGAUGAUCCUUUUCCUCUCAUGAGGAAAAGCUGAAAGUCGGUUUCGGCUGACACUUACAGAUGGGCCCGCGGCGCAUUAGCUAGUUGGUGAGGUAACGGCUCACCAAGGCGACGAUGCGUAGCCGACCUGAGAGGGUGAUCGGCCACACUGGGACUGAGACACGGCCCAGACUCCUACGGGAGGCAGCAGUAGGGAAUCUUCCACAAUGGACGAAAGUCUGAUGGAGCAACGCCGCGUGAGCGAUGAAGGCCUUCGGGUCGUAAAGCUCUGUUGUUAGGGAAGAAUAAGUACCGGAGUAACUGCCGGUACCUUGACGGUACCUAACCAGAAAGCCACGGCUAACUACGUGCCAGCAGCCGCCGUAACAC